AGUAACGCGUGGGUAAUCUGCCCUAUACCGAGACAUAACGUUGGGAAACUGACGCUAAUAUCUCAUGAGGUGCUUCGGCAUCAAAGCUUCGGUGGUAUAGGAUGAGCCCGCGUCUGAUUAGCUUGUUGGUGAGGUAAAGGCUCACCAAGGCUGCGAUCAGUAGCUGGUCUGAGAGGACGAUCAGCCACACUGGAACUGAGACACGGUCCAG
rnacentral:rRNA from 1 species